CUGUUUUCGAGUCAGGUGGAAUCACUAAAUUAUUAAAAUUUAGCGAGUAAUAAUUUAAAUAAAAUUCCUCUGAGAUCUAAAAACUAAAAAAGAGUUAUCUCUAAGUUUGACUAGAAUGACCAAAUGAAUAAUUAAAAUCACGCACAGUCGCUGAAGAGUUGAUCCGAAGAACUGACGAUGCGGGUGUCGUGAAGACUAAUGUCGAGAAGUAAUACCAGGCUACGACUACCCGUUUGCUACAGUGAUACCAAGAGAGGGAGGAAUGUCUAAAUGUAUUCUGUCUUUUUUUCUGCUUCAGUGUAAGAAGAGAAGACUGAUCAAGAUAACGCAGUAUGGAAGUCAGCGAGCACGCGCGUGAAUUAGGAACCAAGAGGACUUUCGUUCGUGACUUCCGGUGGCGAAUAAAAUCUUAUUUGCAGUUGGUGUACAUACUUUAGCGCUAACCGGAUCCGCUGUCCGCUGUAAUGCGGUAGCUGUUUGUUGCCACCGGAUAUGGCGAAGAAUUAAAGAUGCCUUGUGGCAUCACCCAGGUCAUCGAGUUUAUCAUGCCAAUCACGAUAUGUUUGUAUUUGGCGCUACAUUGUUUAGAAAAUUUACCGGUGUCAGGUAGAGCGAGAGGGUUCCAAUAAUUAAUUAGUACGCUCAACACGUAGGGCAUACGCAUAAGUCCAUAAAAAGUUUUAUGACUACAAAAAGGAUAAAAGUAACUCCGUUACUAAUUGUCGCCGAGUUACAAGUUAAAAUAAAUAAACAUACUGAAGAAUAGUAAGAAAGAAAAGCUGUACUGAUAAAGAAAAGUUACCGCGUGUAGGGAGUAAUGGACGAAGACAAAAUAUAUUCAUGGAACACAUUAUAUAUAUACAUACUUACAUUUCGUACAUAUUCAUGUAUUCAGUUAAAUAGGAUACAUGAGUGUCACGAAGCGACAACUAAAGCCCCGCACUCAUACUUACCAAGCCGAAGUUAAUAUAAGAAGCUAAGCAUAUAAGAAUUUUAAAAAUUCAAAGUGGAUUUUUGUUUUCCAAGUGCACUAUUUUUUUUUCCACAAGUAAAGAAGCUAUGUUUUUUAUUUUUAUCACUGAUACGUGAUCAAUAAAAAAAAACACCGGUGGUUUAUCAUCUUCUUUAUGUCUUCUUAAAAAUUAUACGACUUAGUCACUCAGAUAGAGCACGCUCCGAUAAUAUAAGUUAUGUUUUAAUUUAUUUAAAUUAAUAAUUAUUUUUAAAAAAGUAUUUUUUUAUUAUAAGUGUUAAUUUUAAAAGAAGCUAAGAGAAAAUCUGAGAAAAAAUAUUUAGGCCGUGCAAAUGAGACAGUUCUUUUAUUAUCCGACUUGCAAACGCGCUAAUUGACAGACAAACAAGUACAUUCUUGUAUUUAUUUCAUUUUAAAGUUAAUAUAUAUUGAAUAUUGCUAAA